AAGAAGAUGAAGGGUUGAGGCUUCUACGCGAAGAAGAUUGCGCAAUCUGUGCGAUGAAUACGAAGGAGUUUUGCGAUUUGGAUGCUUUUGAUUUCUGGAUUGAAGGAGAUUGACUUGAGUGUCUGCAGGUUCAGACUCGCUGUAGAGCUCUCGUGGUGCUUACCAUUUGUGUUGCUUCAUGGCAUGUGGAUGAAGAGAAAGAACCUGGUUCGCGAUGAUGGCGUAUGGACGUUGGCUAGCCAUGGUGGUUCUAUUGAUGCUUCGCAGGUUUCUAGAUAUUGAGAGGAAGACGAACAUGGUUUUGCAAUGGUGGUAGUUGUGUGGCGGUGCAUGAAGGCUAGUGGUGACGUUUUUC
rnacentral:sRNA from 1 species